rnacentral:rRNA from 1 species
UUAAAGGGCUGCAGUAUAUUGACUGUACAAAGGUAGCAUAAUCAUUAGUCAUUUAAUUGAUGACUUGUAUGAAGGAUUGGAUGAAAUAUAAACUGUCUCUUAAUUAUAUUUAGAAUUUAAUUUUUUAAUUAAAAAGUUAAAAUAAAUUAGAAAGACGAGAAGACCCUGUAGAGUUUUAUAAAUAAAAUUAAUUGAGAUUAUAUGUAAAAGUUAAAAUUAAGAUUAAUUUAUUUAUUUUGUUGGGGUGACAGAAAAAUAUAAAAAACUUUUUAUAUAUUUAAAACGUUGAUAAGCGGUUAAAUGAUCCAAUAUUAUUGAUUAUAAGAAAAAAUUACCUUAGGGAUAACAGCGUAAUUUUUUUUUUUAGUUCAUAUAAAAAAAAAAGUUUGCGACCUCGAUGUUGGAUUAAGAUAAAAUUUAAAUGCAGAAG